rnacentral:lncRNA from 1 species
CUUCCUCUUAAAGCCACGUAGCAGUUUCAAGGGUAGAUGAUGUUCUCUUUUAUUUGGUACCAUUGGCUUUAGGGAAGCCCGAAGGACCAUCUGCUCCAUCAGAGUCACACGCAGAGGGUUCUGCUCCUGCCUUUGGAAGUUGGCUUCCUGAGCUGCUGAACGAGCCAGUCCUGCUGACCUACUCUCAGAUAUCACAGGCACCGGCUGUGUCUGACAGAGACCUUUCUGCAAGUACACAUGCAGGUCUGCUCUGUAAAGACUUUAUCAUUUGCAGAUUAUUGCCCAGAGUGGCUACGAGCUGUGGUGUGAUCCUGUCACAGAGAGAGCCGGGCCGCGUUUUCAGAACAGCAGGAAACAGGACAUUUUGAAACAUCUUUUCAGUGGUGAAAAGGACGUCAGCAAGGGGAUCUGAAAGAGAAAUAAACAGUCACUGGAAACACACGCUGAAGGCAGGGAUUGGGGCACAUAUUAAUAAAAUAGCUUGAGUAACACUGGAUAAUGCACAAGAACAGCAAAAAAAAAAAAAAAAAAAAAAAAAAAAAAAAAAAAAAAAAAAAAACCGACACAACGAUGAGGAAUUCAUCAGUGAAGGGCUCGCGGAAUGUUCUGAGAAUAAUUCUUCCUUGCUAACGCUCUCCAGUUUGCAUUAAGAUGCCCGGCAGUUCACCCUCCAGUCUGAGCCAGGCCGGUUACACAGGCUGCAAAGUUUCUUAGGCCCUCAACGACGAUCCUGGACAGACACCCUGAACACAGCCUCCCUGGUACAUUCUUAGUGCACUCACAAAAUCUGCUGCUUCCCAGGUCUUUUAGAUGUGAAAUGAAACCCCAAGGGCUGCAUUAACAAGGAGCAAAAACACAUGCAACCAAAGCCAGCAGUUAUGGCGAAGCAUCCCGGAUUCCCAUGAGAAAGUCUCUGGAUCUAGUUCCUCUACGUCACAUGAGUGUGCAAACAGGAGACUACAAGAGUUUAAAAAUACUGGGACUGCUGGAGAUUUCCCUGGCCAUAUAUAGUUCAUUUGUUUCACAGUAAGUUCAAAAGAGACAGAGGGAGAGGGAGGGAGACAAAGAAGGCAACGGGCACUCAGCUUGAGUGAGUUGGGAACCUGAAUACAAUACUGUGCCACCUUCC